GGGAGAUCUGGUAUUCAACUAAACCUUGAACAAGGAACUGACAGUAACUCAAACUUGCCUUGGAGUGGCCCACAUCCCCUGAAUAAUGCUGGUACAGCCACAUCUGAUAAUGGACUCUCAAAUGACAUGUUUGAAGAAGAGAUAAGUGUGAUUGUUGAUACAACCACUGGCAACAACGAUGCCCUAGAAAGCCAACAAGCAAAUGAACAAUAUGCCCAGCAGAAUGAGCC